AGAGUUUGAUCAUGGCUCAGAGUGAACGCUGGCGGCAGGCCUAACACAUGCAAGUCGAGCGGCAGCGCGUCCGACCACCCUCGGGUGGUCGGAUGGCGGCGAGCGGCGGACGGGUGAGGAAUGCAUCGGAAUCUGCCUCGUUGUGGGGGAUAACGUAGGGAAACUUACGCUAAUACCGCAUACGACCUACGGGUGAAAGUGGGGGACCUUCGGGCCUCACGCGAUGAGAUGAGCCGAUGCCGGAUUAGCUAGUUGGCGGGGUAAAGGCCCACCAAGGCGACGAUCCGUAGCUGGUCUGAGAGGAUGAUCAGCCACACUGGAACUGAGACACGGUCCAGACUCCUACGGGAGGCAGCAGUGGGGAAUAUUGGACAAUGGGGGCAACCCUGAUCCAGCCAUGCCGCGUGUGUGAAGAAGGCCUUCGGGUUGUAAAGCACUUUUGUUGGGGAAGAAACCGGCCGGGUUAAUACCCUGGUUGAAUGACGGUACCCGCAGAAUAAGCACCGGCUAACUCUGUGCCAGCAGCCGCGGUAAUACAGAGGGUGCAAGCGUUAAUCGGAAUUACUGGGCGUAAAGGGUGCGUAGGUGGUGAAAUAAGUUAGGUGUGAAAUCCCUGGGCUUAACCUGGGAACUGCGCUUGAUACUGUUUCGCUAGAGUACUGUAGAGGGAAGUGGAAUUUCCGGUGUAGCGGUGAAAUGCGUAGAUAUCGGAAGGAACACCAGUGGCGAAGGCGACUUCCUGGACAGAUACUGACACUGAGGCACGAAAGCGUGGGGAGCAAACAGGAUUAGAUACCCCGGUAGU
rnacentral:rRNA from 1 species